GACGAACGCUGGCGGCGUGCCUAAUACAUGCAAGUCGAACGAGUGGCGGACGGGUGAGUAACACGUGGGAACCUACCCAUCAGAGGGGGAUAACACUUGGAAACAGGUGCUAAUACCGCAUACUAUCGGCUGAGACCGUGUGUGACUCGGUAGUAGGUGGGGUAAAGGCUCACCUAGGCGACGAUCUCUAGCUGGUCUGAGAGGAUGAUCAGCCACACUGGGACUGAGACACGGCCCAGACUCCUACGGGAGGCAGCAGUGGGGAAUAUUGCACAAUGGGCGCAAGCCUGAUGCAGCCAUGCCGCGUGUAUGAAGAAGGUCUUAGGGUUGUAAAGUACUUUCAGCGGGGAGGCGUUACCCGCAGAAGAAGCACCGGCUAACUCCGUGCCAGCAGCCGCGGUAAUUC
rnacentral:rRNA from 1 species